UUCCUCAGCUAACAUGGCAUAGCGCGUCACUCGUAAUGACGAGGUCGUCUGUUCGAUCCAGGCCGCGGGCAAA